GUACGCUGGCGGCACGCUUAACACAUGCAAGUCGAACGAAGUAGCAAUACUUAGUGGCAGACGGGUGAGUAACAUGUAGGUAUCUGCCCUUUGGCCUGGAAUAACACGAGGAAACUUGUGCUAAUACCGGAUAAGUCUUUACGGAGAAAGCUUUAUGCACCAUUGGAUGAGCCUGCACUUGAUUAGUUUGUUGGUGGGGUAAUGGCCUACCAAGACUGUGAUCAAUAGCUGAUUUGAGAGGAUGAUCAGCCACAUUGGGACUGAGACACGGCCCAAACUCCUACGGGAGGCAGCAGUGGGGAAUCUUGCACAAUGGAGGAAACUCUGAUGCAGCGAUGCCGCGUGAGUGAAGAAGGCCCUUGGGUUGUAAAGCUCUUUCGUCGGGGAAGAAAAUGACUGUACCCGAAUAAGAAGGUCCGGCUAACU
rnacentral:rRNA from 1 species